rnacentral:lncRNA from 1 species
AGAGGAAGAUGCAUCUUGGGUUGACAUAUAGUGCGACUUGUAAGAUAUAUUGGGCCAUAUGGGUUUUCUCCAUUCUCUCUCCUGAUCGAGAUAUCCUCUGUUUUUGCCCAAAAAAAAUUGAUUGAAUUGUCAAGAAUUUGUAGCGUGAAGUGCAAUGAAGUGGAAUUAGAUCCAUUUUUUGAGGGGGUAUUCAGAUUAAUAUUAUCAAUUAGAAUGAUUUAUGGUUGAAUUGGUUGGACCAAUAAAAUGAAGUAUCCA